UCUUGUUAAAAUGCGGAUUCCAACUCCAUAGGUUAAGAGUAGGACCUGAGAUUCUGCAUUUCUAAUAAGCUCCC
rnacentral:miRNA from 1 species